ACAAGUACCGUGAGGGAAAGUUGAAAAGCACUUUGGAAAGAGAGUGCAAGAGAUCGUGAAACCAGUAUAAAGGAAACGAACGUUGCUGACGGAUUAGGUGUACAUUCAUCUAUGGCCUUUGGGUUGUGGUGCUCUUGUAUGCUGGUGCGCUGGGUGCGUUGAUGCCGUGAUUCGAAGCGUUCAAGUGUGGACCGGCUAGUCCGGAAACCUGUGAGCGUGGAUGAGUUGUUGGUGUUGAUGUAUAGAGUGGUUGGCUUUACGGCUGCGUAUGACUAUUUGUCGACCUUUGGGGUAGCACAUGUGUUAUCGUGAGGGAUGAUGAGUGGUUGUAUGUGCUUGUCAGUUGAUCAUCCCGGUGUCUAGUCGGUGAAACGUUCGACCCGUCUUGAAACACGGACCAAGGAGUUUAAAGUAUACGCGAGUCAGAGGGUGUUGAAACCCAACGGCGUAAUGAAAGUGAAUAACGUAUGUUAGAUGAGUGUGAUGGUUGACUUUGUUUUCCGGCAACACUGCCCCAUGCUGUAGUUUCGACUUGGUGUGGCGGUUGAGCGUAUGCUUUGAGACCCGAAAGAUGGUGAACUAUGCUCGAACAGGAUGAAGCCAGGGGAAACCCUGGUGGAAGUCCGAAGCGGUUCUGACGUGCAAAUCGAUCGUCUGAUUUGAGUAUAGGGGCGAAAGACUAAUCGAACUAUCUAGUAGCUGGUUCCUUCCGA
rnacentral:rRNA from 1 species